rnacentral:lncRNA from 1 species
CCAUGUCAUUUCACAUAAACUCAGGACCAUCGGAAAUGUCUUGUUCUAAACAAAAAUCAAAUGGAAAAUUUUGGAAAGGGGUAGGGGUUCUGAUGUACCAGCAGGGCAUCCAAGCAAAGUUCCCAAAUCCUGGUUUAUGGUUAUAAACUUCAUGAUAAUGCCAAUUUUUCACAGGUACAAUAUGCUAAUGCAAGGCAAUUCAAGGGAGUUUUUGGAAAGUUCAAUUCAAUUUAGACCCACCAGUGAUAAGGUAUUAAGAGAAAACUAUUCAAAGACUUAGUUUUUAAAUAUAAAACCUACCCCCACAUAUAGUAACUGUUUUUUUC